rnacentral:lncRNA from 1 species
CACAGACCAAUCUGACGAGCCUUCGUUGUGCUGCUGAACAAUCUGCUUGUUGUCUACGGCAAUAUAAAUCGUAAGUGUUGCUUUAAAUCCUAAUUGAUGCGCAGUUAUUUGGUUUCUGAAGUUCUAUUAACACUCCUAAUCCUGUUACUUUCAUUUAUUUUCAUGGGGAGUGGUGGUUUUUUUUUCCUUCACUGGCAAACAGAAGGUCAGGUAACUUUAAUUUCUAAGUCUCUGUUUACAAAUACAAAUACAUAAGCUUAUGUUCAUUGUUGAACGUAUGGCGUUCCAUAAAGGUUAGGCUGAUUGGAUGGUGCUCUAGGUUUCCUUGCUUAAAUAUUUUGUUUCUUUUAAUGGUAUUGAGCUUUGUCCUAUUUCUUCUCACAAUGGUCUUCAUUAGGGUGACCUGAUUUCAUUGUAUUUGUUUAUUUUGUGCACAAAGGGCUUUAGCUAUUGGUUGCGAAAACUCAUGAGUAGAGGCAAUUUGCAUGGUAUCAAUAUAGGAUGGAUUAGUAAUGAUUAAAUUAAUAAUAGAUUGAUGAGGAAAAUAUAGUUAUUUUCAUGUGAUCAUCCUUGGGGAAAUUAAUAAUUGUCUUUGUUGAUAUAUAUAUAUAAGGGGUAAGUUGGUGAUUAAGCUUAGAUAAAUUUAUAUCAUAUUAGUUGAAUUGAUUAUGGUAACAUUUGUUAUAAAAUAAUAAUACUUGAUUUUAUGGAAGGUAAAAAAACUUUGGUGAAUUAAAGUAUAUAUAUAUUACUUACUUAUGACUUGGUGAUUUAUUGAGUUAAAACUUAUCGUUAUAUUUAUAUUGUGCUCUCAUAAUUUGAUUUCAAUUAUGCUUUAAUAGACCGUUAAAAAUAAUCAAAUGAUAAUGAUGUCGAACAUAACUUAAGGUACAUAUAUACUUGACUACUUGAUUUCUAUUGAAAUAUGUCAAAAUAUAUAUACAUUUGUGACUGUGAAAAUCGUAUUAUAAUAAUGUUAUACUAUCUUAUUUAUAAUAUGUUAUGAAAAUUGUAUUAUAAUAUACUUUGGUUAGAUAUGGAGCUAUAAAAUUUCUUUUGUUGAGUUUUAAUGCUUGAGUAAUGAAUAAGUAUGCAUGGUUAUAAGUAUUAAGCCAUUUAAUCAACUACACUAGGUUGAGUUGACUUGAUUGCUAAGUUGUCUGGAUAUUUUAUUAUAUAAUUGUUUGUUAAACUGAUGCAUAUGAAAAUACUAUAAAAUUUGCUUAAUUUUGCAUAAAUUGAUUGGUGUUCGAAUGCAUUUAAAUGUUCAUUUUAGUUAAUAUCACAUUAGUGUUUUGUCAAAACAUAAUGAUUAUGUCUCGAGAUCCUAAGAACAAAAAUAAUCAAAUUGUACAUUUCUGGGUACAAGUCUCUAGACUUACCAAGCAAGCCUUAAGAUAAUCAUGAUCGGAGUCUUGAGACACAAAAGUUUGUGUCUCAAGACUGUAAAACAUCGAAACUAAAAUUAUUUUUGAUUUUUCAAAAAAUUGUAUUAUCUUUGAAAUUACUACUGCUCUCAAUCAUGGAAGAUACUUGGGCUUACUGUUACUUACUAAGCAUAAUAUUAGAAGCUUUAAUUUUUUGUCUGAGUGUUCACUUUUUUCUUAGUCCAAAUCUUAGUCUACACAUUUGCAGGGUAAGUAGUUUCAGUCAUGGCUUUAUCUCGUCGUCUUUGCUUGCCAUUCUUAUGGUUUCUCCUCCUGUGCUUGAUUUUGCUGAUUCAUUUACAAUCUAAACAUGUUUAGUUAACAAGAAUUUUAAUCAUCACUUUAUACAAGUAAAGACUAAUUUAAUAAUUUUUAUAAUUAAAAUUUGUUUAUUAUAAAAUUCUGUUGUUACGAUUGAAAAGUUCUUAGAUAUUAUUAUUUAUUAUUUUAAUUAACUAUGAAUAAAUCGUAUAUAUACAGUGAAUAUUAAUUGAAGUUCAUUUGUAUAUAUGAUUAGACUUCUGUUCUUCAAAUGCAAUGAGUAGGGAAGUCUCUCGACAUUAUUAGAGAUCAAUCCCAAGCAUCUCCAAAUAAACCCUCAAGAAAACAUUUCCAAUUCAAUCAAG